AUUGAACGCUGGCGGCAGGCCUAACACAUGCAAGUCGAACGAGUGGCGGACGGGUGAGUAAUGGCUGGGAAACUGCACGAUGGAGGGGGAUAACUCCUGGAAACGGUAGCUAAUACCGCAUCCCAUCGGAUGUGCCAAGACGGGAUUUGCUAGUGGGGGGGGUAACGGCUCACCUCGGAGACGAGCACUAGCUGGUCGGAGAGGAGGACCAGCCACACUGGAACUGAGACACGGUCCAGACUCCUACGGGAGGCAGCAGUGGGGAAUAUUGCACAAUGGGCGCAAGCCUGAUGCAGCCAUGCCGCGUGUAUGAAGAAGGCCUUCGGGUUGUAAAGUACUUUCAGCGAGGAGGCGUUACUCGCAGAAGAAGCACCGGCUAACUCCGUGCCAGCAGCCGCGGUAAUUC
rnacentral:rRNA from 1 species